rnacentral:rRNA from 1 species
UCGAGAAUUUUUCACAAUGGGCGAAAGCCUGAUGGAGCGACGCCGCGUGGGGGAUGAAUGGCUUCGGCCCGUAAACCCCUGUCAUUCGGGAUCAAUGCGCCUGACCUAACACGUCAGUCGUUGAUAGUACCGGAAGAGGAAGGGACGGCUAACUCUGUGCCAGCAGCCGCGGUAAUACAGAGGUCCCAAGCGUUGUUCGGAUUCACUGGGCGUAAAGGGUGCGUAGGCGGUCGGGUAAGUCUGAUGUGAAAUUCCGGGGCUUAACUCCGGAACGGCAUCGGAUACUAUUCGGCUAGAGCGUUGGAGGGGGGACUGGAAUUCUCGGUGUAGCAGUGAAAUGCGUAGAUAUCGAGAGGAACACCAGUGGCGAAGGCGAGUCCCUAGACAACUGCUGACGCUGAGGCACGAAAGCCAGGGGAGCAAACGGG